UGGGUGCACUGUGCAGGUAGCGAUAAUGAUUACCGGUAUGCAGGCUUUCAACGUCAUUGGCGACGGAGCAGUGCUCUGUCACUUCACAAGCCAGGUUGACUGACUUCUCGUCUCGACCAUAACAGGCAAAGUGAUGGGAUGCGUUGCCGAGAUGAGUUGCCGUCCUCCUGCGAAGAGAAUUGCCACCAGCACCGGCUGCAGCAAAGGAAUAAUGUUGAAUUGAAGUUGAAUGCAUUUAGCAGCAAGUUGGCAAGUGACAGAAUCUUAAACAGCUGGUGCAACCCCAUGUAGCCAGUUUAAGGCAGUGAGCAAGUACAGAAGAGGGUUGUCUUACCUUCUCUGAGGCAACAACCACUGUUGAGCUGUACUGAUGAUAUGGCUGCAAUACCAAAUGGUGUACACACCCCUGGACCGCAUACACCUUCAAAUGCAACCUGCACACAAGUAUACACA